GACGAACGCUGGCGGCGUGCUUAACACAUGCAAGUCGAACGGAAAGGCCCUGCUUGCAGGGUACUCGAGUGGCGAACGGGUGAGUAACACUUGGGUGAUCUGCCCUGCACUUCGGGAUACGCCUUGGAAACUGGGUCUACUACCGGAUAGGAGCCAUUUUUUGUGUGAUGGUUGGAAAGUUUUUUUCGGUUUAGGAUGAGCUCGCGGCCUAUCCGCUUGUUGGCGGGGUAAUGCCCUACCAAGGCGGCGACGGGUAGCCGGCCUGAGAGGGUGGACGGCCAGAUUGGGAGUGGGAUAGGGCCCAGACGUCGGCGGAAGGCAGCAACAGGGAUUAUUGCAAAAACGGCGCAAGAAUGAUGCAGCGACGACACGAGGGAGAAGACGGCCAGCGAGUAGUAAGGUCCUGACGCAAGAGACGAAGCGUUUUGUUACAGGACCUAGAUGAGAAGCAGCGGCUAACUACAUG
rnacentral:rRNA from 1 species